rnacentral:rRNA from 4 species
GUCUGGAAAGGCGCGCGAUACAGGGUGACAGCCCCGUACACAAAAGCGCAUGUGCUGUGAGCUCGAUGAGUAGGGCGGGACACGUGGUAUCCUGUCUGAAUAUGGGGGGACCAUCCUCCAAGGCUAAAUACUCCUGACUGACCGAUAGUGAACCAGUACCGUGAGGGAAAGGCGAAAAGAACCCCGGCGAGGGGAGUGAAAAAGAACCUGAAACCGUGUACGUACAAGCAGUGGGAGCACAGGUUUACCUGUGUGACUGCGUACCUUUUGUAUAAUGGGUCAGCGACUUAUAUUCUGUAGCAAGGUUAACCGUAUAGGGGAGCCGGAGGGAAACCGAGUCUUAACCGGGCGUUAAGUUGCAGGGUAUAGACCCGAAACCCGGUGAUCUAGCCAUGGGCAGGUUGAAGGUUGGGUAACACUAACUGGAGGACCGAACCGACUAAUGUUGAAAAAUUAGCGGAUGACCUGUGGCUGGGGGUGAAAGGCCAAUCAAACCGGGAGAUAGCUGGUUCUCCCCGAAAGCUAUUUAGGUAGCGCCUCGUGAAUUCAUCUCCGGGGGUAGAGCACUGUUUCGGCUAGGGGGCCAUCCCGGCUUACCAACCCGAUGCAAACUGCGAAUACCGGAGAAUGU